AUAAUGAUCAACAGACUUCUGAGAACCAAGAUCUCCGCUUCUCACCUCAGCAGUUUCAAGCCCUACUAGCUUUAAUACAACAGCCAAGUAAUGGAAACUCAGCAUCACACACUUCACAUGUUAACCAGAUCAGUUCUAUUUCAUCUUCUAAUCCAGGACAUGACCAACAAGCAGAAGAUUGGUACAGUUGAUGUAAAUGGUGGUCUCUACCAAAUUACACUUAAACCUGUCAUUUCCCAUUCUGUCUGUACUAGCGUUGUUCAUCCUCGAUGUAAUAAAAUACCUAUUGACUUGUGGCACUUCCGUUUAGGUCAUA